rnacentral:rRNA from 1 species
AGAGUUUGAUCCUGGCUCAGGAUGAACGCUAGCGACAGGCUUAACACAUGCAAGUCGAGGGGCAGCACAGGUAGCAAUACCGGGUGGCGACCGGCGCACGGGUGAGUAACGCGUAUGCAACUUACCUAUCAGAGGGGGAUAACCCGGCGAAAGUCGGACUAAUACCGCAUGAAGCAGGGGCCCCGCAUGGGGAUAUUUGCUAAAGAUUCAUCGCUGAUAGAUAGGCAUGCGUUCCAUUAGGCAGUUGGCGGGGUAACGGCCCACCAAACCGACGAUGGAUAGGGGUUCUGAGAGGAAGGUCCCCCACAUUGGUACUGAGACACGGACCAAACUCCUACGGGAGGCAGCAGUGAGGAAUAUUGGUCAAUGGCCGAGAGGCUGAACCAGCCAAGUCGCGUGAAGGAAGAAGGAUCUAUGGUUUGUAAACUUCUUUUAUAGGGGAAUAAAGUGGAGGACGUGUCCUUUUUUGUAUGUACCCUAUGAAUAAGCAUCGGCUAACUCCGUGCCAGCAGCCGCGGUAAUACGGAGGAUGCGAGCGUUAUCCGGAUUUAUUGGGUUUAAAGGGUGCGUAGGUGGUGAUUUAAGUCAGCGGUGAAAGUUUGUGGCUCAACCAUAAAAUUGCCGUUGAAACUGGGUUACUUGAGUGUGUUUGAGGUAGGCGGAAUGCGUGGUGUAGCGGUGAAAUGCAUAGAUAUCACGCAGAACUCCGAUUGCGAAGGCAGCUUACUAAACCAUAACUGACACUGAAGCACGAAAGCGUGGGGAUCAAACAGGAUUAGAUACCCUGGUAGUCCACGCAGUAAACGAUGAUUACUAGGAGUUUGCGAUACAAUGUAAGCUCUACAGCGAAAGCGUUAAGUAAUCCACCUGGGGAGUACGCCGGCAACGGUGAAACUCAAAGGAAUUGACGGGGGCCCG